rnacentral:misc_RNA from 1 species
AACGGACUUGUUUCUUAAGCUGACCAUGUCUUUCAAUUCAAAAACCUUCUUCAGGUAAUUGUUCCCUUGUUUAGCUGCAGGUUCAGGUUGAGUGUCCUCUACAGAUAACUUUUCUUCUUUUUCUUCUCCAGUUGCUGCUACAGCAGCUUGGGGGAUGUGUUCAUCAUGAGGAACUGUGUCAUUAAUAAUGCUUCCAAGAGACUCAACCACCUCGCUCAUUUUUGGACGGGAUUUCGGCUGCUUCAUGAGGCACUUGUUUGCUAGGAUUGCAAGUUUAUGAGCUGAUUUGAUGCAGUAUUGUCCCUUAAG